CCAACGCAGUGCUCAAGAGGUAGCACGAAUCGAGAGGCCGGUAACUACUAGUUAAGUCAUAUAAAAAUUGAUAAAGUAGGAUGGUGAGCAAUUUUGUCAGUUUUAGUAUAGGAGAUAUGCCACAAAUGCCCCAACAAAAAUGUCCUUUAUUAUAAAGAAAAAAGCUAAUGGUAAUCCGAAUGCAAAUUGCAGGUGCUCGGCCCUGCGGGAGGUGUGUGAUGUUCAUUGCAACGGGCCUGUUCGGCAAUCCUCUACUUUAGAAAAACCAGUCGCUCCGCUCCGAUCCUCGCACGAAGCGCUCUCCUGAUCAGGGAGGGAAUAGUAUAGAAUCCGAGCUUUCGGUGCAAAAAUAGAAAAAAGUAACAUGGGCCGUCGGAUCAGAAAUCGAUGGCACAUAUUGUGGGUGUCGGAUUUCUGAUCAGACUGUACUCACUGUCACAAAAUGUUGUGCAAAAAGGUCCCCCGAUUCUGAUUAAUUCUGUGCAAACAUCUAAACCCUCUCGCACGUCUCCCUUUUCUUUGCUGACUGCGGCGGCAAUCCAGAUCCGGCGGGAGGCCGCCGACGUGCGUGGCCUCUCCCCCAACUACUCCGCCACCUAGGCCAUCUGGAUCCACAUCAUCCGGCGAUCUCGCACAUCCUGGGCACCCGACGUCGCGCUCCACGUCAUCGUCCAGGGCCUAGCCACCUCCGACAUGGUCUCCUCCACAGGAGCACCACCUGACCUUCACCGUGCUCUACGGCGGGUUGGUGACUGGGCGGAGACCCGCAGCACGGACGUGUUCGAGAUGACUCUGCUCGACGGCCGCACGUGCCAGGUCUUCUUCCUCAACCCCGACGAUGGAUGAUGCUCUGACAACCAGAAGCAUCAGGAGUACAUAUGGAGAGAAGAACCGCUUAGCAGAGGCUUCCCUUGCAUACAGCUGCAGGAGUGAAACUCAUUUGUUUGCACGAUAGUUUAAUUCCUUUGUUGUCGGUCAUGUACUAUAAAUUGUCUUAUUAUGUUAAUCAUUCGCUUUGCAUGUAUGUGGAUUAGAGUGGACCAGAAAUAGAAUACCUUGGUUAAAUUCAUUUUCACCGUCCUAUUCAGAUGUGCUUAUUACCAGAGGAUAAGCUGACUUUAAUUUAGUGCUGCACAAUUUGUAUAAAUGAAAUUAGUAGUUUUCUUGUUUAA